rnacentral:rRNA from 1 species
UUAUGCUGAUAAGAGCGUAUGGUGGAUGCCUUGGCACUAAGAGCCGAUGAAAGACGUGAUAAGCUGCGAAAAGCUUCGGGGAGGAGCAAAUAUCCUUUGAUCCGGAGAUUUCUGAAUGGGGAAACCUACUUGAGCAAACCUCAAGUAUCCUUAAGCCAAUACAUAACUUAAGGAAGGGAACCCGGUGAACUGAAACAUCUAAGUAGCCGGAGGAAGAGAAAACAACAUGUGAUUCUGUGAGUAGCGGCGAGCGAAAACGGAAGAGCCCAAACCAGCGUGCGUGCAUGCUGGGGUUCGGACCGCGGAAUUGAUUCAACGAGUUUAGCAGAACGGUUUUGGGAAAGCCGGCCAGAGAGGGUGAAAGCCCCGUAAGCGAAAGACGAGUUGACAUGGCGGGAUCCAGAGUACCACGAGACACGUGGAACCUUGUGGGAAGAUGCGGGGACCACCCCGUAAGGCUAAAUACUACUUAGUGACCGAUAGCGCAUAGUACUGUGAAGGAAAGGUGAAAAGGACCCCGGGAGGGGAGUGAAAAAGAACCUGAAACCAUAUGUUUACAAGCUGUGGAAGAGCUUUAUAUGCUCAACCGCGUACUUUUUGUAGAACGGUCCGGCGAGUUACGCUGGCUGGCGAGGUUAAGGACUGAAGGUCCGGAGCCGAAGGGAAACCAAGUCUGAAUAGGGCGCAUAGUCAGUCGGAGUAGACCCGAAACCGGGUGAUCUAUCCAUGUCCAGGUUGAAGUUGCCGUAAAAGGCAAUGGAGGACCGAACCCACAUCCGUUGAAAAGGGUGGGGAUGAGGUGUGGAUAGGGGAGAAAUUCCAAUCGAACCCGGAGAUAGCUGGUUCUCCUCGAAAUAGCUUUAGGGCUAGCCUCAUACGAGUCUUGCGGAGGUAGAGCACUGAAUUCCUAAGGGGGCGUCAAAGCUUACUAAGGGAUAUCAAACUCCGAAUGCCGUGUAGAUGAUGUAUGGGAGUCAGACGAUCCGAGAUAAGUUGGGUGGUCAAAAGGGAAAGAGCCCAGACCAACAGCUAAGGCCCCAAAAUGUGUGUUAAGUGGAAAAGGAUGUGGGAUUUCGAAGACAACUAGGAUGUUGGCUCAGAAGCAGCCAUUCAUUCAAAGAGUGCGUAAUAGCUCACUAGUCGAGAGGUCCUGCGCCGAAAAUGUCCGGGGCUAAAACACACUGCCGAAGCUUUGGAAUUGAAUUAAUUCAAUUGGUAGAGGAGCAUUCUUAAAGGGACGAAGCAGUACCGUAAGGAGCUGUGGACUUUUAAGAAGAGAGAAUGCCGGAAUGAGUAGCGAGAGGAAGGUGGGAAUCCUUCCGGCCGAAUAUCUAAGGUUUCCAGAGUAAAGCUGAUCUGCUCUGGGUAAGUCGGGGCCUAAGGCGAGGUCGAAAGACGUAGUCGAUGGAUAACAGGUUGAAAUUCCUGUACUAUCCUGUAACAGAACUGUGGGGACACAGGCAGAGAGCGUGAGCCGGGAAUGGAAAGACCGGUACAAGCGAGGUAGGAGAAGAGUUGGCAAAUCCGCUCUUUAAUCUGAAGACGUGAUGUGGACUGAAAAUAAGUAGGGAAGCACGUGAGCUGACUGUCAAGAAAAGCCGCUAUUGUUUGCAGGAUACCCGUACCGUAAACCGACACAGGUGGAUGAGGAGAGAAUCCUAAGGCCGACGGGAGAAGCAUUGUUAAGGAACUCGGCAAAAUGACUCCGUAACUUCGGGAGAAGGAGUGCCAGUAAGAUGGCCGCAGAGAAUUGGCCCAAGCAACUGUUUAGCAAAAACACAGGUCUAUGCAAAACCGAAAGGUGAGGUAUAUGGGCUGACGCCUGCCCGGUGCUGGAAGGUUAAGAGGAGAUGUUAGAGCAAUCGAAGCAUUGAAUUUAAGCCCCAGUAAACGGCGGCCGUAACUAUAACGGUCCUAAGGUAGCGAAAUUCCUUGUCGGGUAAGUUC